UAAGCAUAUCAAUAAGCGGAGGAAAAGAAACUAACAAGGAUUCCCCUAGUAACUGCGAGUGAAGCGGGAUGAGCUCAAAUUUGUAAUCUGGCGCAAGCCCGAGUUGUAAUCUAGAGAAGCGUUUUCGGCCGUUGCCUCGGAAAAGUCCCUUGGAACAGGGUGUCAUAGAGGGUGAGAAUCCCGUCUUUGCCGAGCUCCCAACGUCUAUGUGAUACGCUCUCGACGAGUCGAGUUGUUUGGGAAUGCAGCUCAAAAUGGGUGGUAAAUUCCAUCUAAAGCUAAAUAUUGGCGAGAGACCGAUAGCGAACAAGUACCGUGAGGGAAAGAUGAAAAGCACUUUGGAAAGAGAGUUAAACAGUACGUGAAAUUGUUGAAAGGGAAGCGCUUGGAGUCAGUCGCGUCUUCGAGGACUCAGCCGUCAAGGUGCAUUUCCUCGUCGACGGGCCAGCAUCGAUUUUGACCGCGGGAAAAGGGCGUGAGGAAUGUGGCAGCUUCGGCUGUGUUAUAGCCUUGCGUCGUAUGCCGUGGUUGGGAUCGAGGACAGCCAAUGUAGGAUGCUGGCGUAAUGGCUCUAAGCGACCCGUCUUGAAACACGGACCAAGGAGUCUAACAUGUCUGCGAGUGUUCGGGUGUAAAACCCGUGCGCGCAAUGAAAGUGAACGUAGGUGGGAGGCCUCGGCCGCACCAUCGACCGAUCCGGAUCUUUAGUGAUGGAUUUGAGUAAGAGCAUAUAUGUUGGGACCCGAAAGAUGGUGAACUAUGCCUGCAUAGGGCGAAGCCAGAGGAAACUCUGGUGGAGGCUCGUAGCGAUUCUGACGUGCAAAUCGAUCGUCAAAUGUGGGUAUAGGGGCGAAAGACUAAUCGAACCAUCUAGUAGCUG
rnacentral:rRNA from 1 species